GAGCUGCCCCGGCCCCGGAGCCCGCACCGAAUGGUGGCUCAGCGACGUCUCCGGCGGUGCUGAAAUGAAUCCCCGCCGCUCUCCUUUGUGCAAAGUGGCAAAACGCCCCGUCUGCCCAGGUGCACGUGUCCCGUGUGGUGUGCAGGGGACUGGGACGGGCUUGGUAGCAUCCGGGGUGCGGAGGGAAGCGUUGCAGGAGCAGUGGCAGGAUGCACCAGAGAGCCUCGAAUGCCUGCUUUGCCUGCGUGAAUGGCAACGGGUUGGUUAUGAGGCUGGCGGGGCAGAAGGAAAGCCGAGGGACUCGAUGGUUUUUGUCUGCCUGACUUGUGGGAAAAGGGAGCACAAAAAUUUGAAGCGUGGCGAAGUUAAGGGAGCACGAGGCUGAACCAAGGCGAUGCUGUACUGCAGCCACCCUCAGCUGCUGACAGAGCCUCCAAGCGGCAGCUGAGUUCUGGGGUUGAACAGUGAGAGGCUGAGAAGCACAGAAGGGUCUGAGAAACCCCAGCACAGAAAGGCCAUCCAAAGUCCUUGAGAGUUACCAGAAGGAAAGCAUAGAAUGAGAGGAGAGCAGUGACCCCAAGCCUGAAAUUUGGAAAGGGAAAGGAAAUGAAGAUUAUAGUUUGUUGAUAAAAUAAUGGUAAUUGUUUUGUGGUCCUGUUCAUCUGUUAUUUCUGAUGGUGAUGGAUCCAGAGGCCAAGGGAAAGCAAUGCAGGGCACGUUCUGGGGGUCAUGGGGGUUAAUCAAGAAGAGAUUUGAGGUCCUUUCCCAGCCUGUUAGUCUUGCCUUCCAUUACCCAUAUCAGCAUUUCCUCUAUAGGAACAUCAGUGUUGAGCUCUCAGGCGUCAGUGAGGAUGAAAGGAGCCCCUUGUGGCUUCUGGCACUCCAUCUUCCUCUCUGGCCUGGGCAUUGGCAGGAGGGUGCUGCAGGACCUCAGAAGAACCUCAAAGCGUGCGUUAAAAAACUGGAAGUUUGCUCAAAGGCAGUUUUCAUGAGCUCAGGUGGGGAGGCCACACUUAAGUGACCUGCAAGGUUUCUUUGAAGAUACAAAGGCUGCAAUUGAUAAAGGAGAGUUGGCAGCCACAGAUGAUCUGGGUAUUUCAAAAAGAGUGUGAGAGGGCUCCAAAUCAGAGGCCUGUGGGUGAAGGGGAGCAGAAGGAUUGAAUCAAGACAGCUGCAGAAACAGGAAACCAUCUUAAAAAUAUACAUUGGAAAAAUGAGUCUAUGUUUAGACAUUAUUUUCAUGGGGAAAAUGAAAGAUAGCAUCAUUUCCAAAGCUUAUCUUGCAGUUUUUGAGGCAAAGUAUCAGAAAAUAAGAUCUUUAUUAAACAAGGAAUGUAGCAGACUGUAACAGCAUACUGACAAAAAAACUUCACUGGUUACAGCCUGCCUGGUUGCAAUACAAAAUUCUGAUUUUGUUUAACAAAAUAUUUUCCCAUGAAUGGAAAGGUUUGGUCUACAGCAGAUAAAAGAAACCAAAUCAUUUCCAAAGAUCUUCAAACUUAAGGACAGAACGUUUUCCACAGAGGCUCCUUAAAUAACUGCAUAGUGGCACUCCUGCCUCUCUUGCCCCACUGAACCAUAAUGGUGCUAUAACUGUUUCUUACUCUGCCUCACUCUACAGGCCUCCAUUUGCUGGGAUGCUGAAGGAUCUCCCAUAACUCUGCAGUGCUUUUUAGGGCUGUAAUGAGGUUCUGUAAUCCAAUGCGUACACAAGAUGAACUUAUGUGUAUAUUUGUCACAGUCAGGCGUACAUACAUUCAUCCUCUUCACUUUCAAAAUAGCAGUGGCUCCUCUUCUGUGCUUUCGGACUUGUGUUACAGAUGAUGCACUCGCUUGUGGAAGCAGCAUUGCCCAUUUAGCUCCACCAACUUCAGUUAAAGAAUGAAUGAAAGAGUAAAAUCUUGGGUCCCAUGUCAACUACCUGAAAUCAGUCCUGUCUGCACAUCCCUGGUGGGUGUCUUCUCUACCCAGGAAAGAGAAGUUGUACAGGGAGGACUUCAUAAGAAGUGGAUGUGCAUGUCCGAGAAUCACCUUAUUUUUCUCUUCUAACUCUUGUCAUAUUUAAGUUAAGUAAGCUAGCAGUUAACCUUACUAAGAUUUACUUGCUAAAAAGGAAUGAAAACAGUUUUAGGAGUGCUGGGAGACCUGUGUGGGAGGCACAGAUUUGGUAGCUUGAGCAAGGAGAUCACAGUCUAGAAAAGGAUUCUGGUAAAGCAGCAGCAGCAGGAGGUAAUGUUAUCAUGAAUUCUCAAAUGAUAUUGGCCUCAGAAAUAAAAUUGUAUUUUAUUUCCCUGGCUGAUACUGGUGACAGAUCUUGAUGGUCAUCUGCCUUGGGCUGUGGCUAACCAAAGCCUGGCGUGAGUAGGAGAAAGACAGCUGUAGAGUUCAGGAAGACUUUUUAAUGUGGGAGCCUUCUGAGAGGCUGGAGCUGCACAGCUGCUGUUCAAAGGAGAAUAUAUGCACUUUGAGCAGCCCCAUUAAAGUCACUGGGAGUGCUUACAACCUUUGCUGUUCAUCUGAAUCAACGAUUUUAGUGGUGACAGUGGAAAUGCUGCUUUGGGCUGUGUUAUUUUUUAAACUCCUAGGCAAAAGAUCAUCUGUCCCCUUACUAAUUUUAUCCUUUGUGCUAGGUCACCCUACUGCCUCCUGUGUUGUGAUGACACAGGCAGAUGAAGUCUUUCUUUUGCUUCUGUGUCUGGAGUCCUGGCAUCACCUUUGCUGACCUAUGCUUCAGCAUCCCCAGGGUAACAGGAUACAAUGAAAGGCUUACUCUGAGCCUGCAGCAACAACUGAAAUGUUCUGAGACAAACAAGGAGGAAAAUGACCUAUAAAUCUUCAUUGGCAUAAAUGGUUCAUAAAGCUGGGUGCUGAAAGGUAAGCGCAGUUGAAAUAAAUCUGAACAGUGCUGACUCCAAUGUUUAAAGCAUUGCUUAAGUCUCUUGAUUAACCCAGCUCCUCAAUAUUUGACGUGAAUCGAUAAUUGAGAUGUCUUUGCUUUUCUCUAGCUUUGUGAUUAUGAGUGUGGACGGUGCCAUGAAAUAUGAUAUUUAAUCCUGUUGAAGUAAUUCUUACGUGCUGUAUAUGAUCAUGGUUCAAUAACUGGCACUAAGGGUAAAAUGGACUGUGUUUCUUUUGUAAGCAAGCAGGAUUUAUAUAAUACAAGUGUGAGUAAAUGGAAAGCAAAAUCCACCUUCUGACACAAAUCUUCAGCCAGCUGUUGGGCAUGCAGAUUUCCUGAUUUUUGUUUGUUUUUGAACCUGUGUCUCAGCACCAGCAGUCUGUUGUUCCAGUGAGAGCUAACUCAGAGCGAACAGUGCCAGGAUGUGCUGUAGCUGUGUGCUCCAGGGAACGGGAAGAUGCUCUACCUAUAGUUUCCUGGAUGUGGGGAAAAGCCUUCUCUAGAUAUCGCAGUGCAGAAGGGCUGUAUUUAAAUGGAUGGCUUACAAAGCACAGUGCUAUGCUUGUUCUGGAAGCUUAGCAUAUAAACUCAGUUCUACUUUCUGCCUUCUUUAAAACAACAAGAAUUCUGAGCUGAGUACUGUAACUAACUGGUUAUAUCAUUCCUAGCACAUCCUUUUCAUUUUCUUUUCUUACAGUACCAAAAGGGGUAUGUGUUUCUGAAGGAGUUGAAUUUAAGCCUGGGGCAGUGGUGCCAAAAAGCUCUUGUGAAGAUUGUGUGUGUACAGAUGAGCAGGAUGCUGUGAUGUGAACCGACCGCAUCCAGUGUGUCCCAGUGAAAUGCCAAACCGCCUGCCAGCAGGUCAGUGCCGAACACAGCUCCCGCCACCAACAAUGGCUGUUGAGAGGGUGUACUGUAAAGCUGGGGCAGUACAAGUGCUGUCUUGCUGAAUAGGAUAGGAUAGCAGUAUAUAAUUUUCUGUUCAAUUUUUGUAAAGUCCUUUUUACAGUGCUGGCCAUUUAUGCUCUAGCUAACUGCAGAAAUUACCCUUGGAGGGAUUCCCUGAAGGUGAAUGACUGCAAAGCUACUAAGGAAUCACAGAAUCACAGAACUGUAGGGGUUGAAAGAGACCUUUAGAGAUCAUCGAGCUUUUCCCCCUGCCAAAGCAGGUUCCCUA